rnacentral:rRNA from 1 species
GAGUUUGAUCUUGGCUCAGAUUGAACGCUGGCGGCAGGCCUAACACAUGCAAGUCGGGCGGUAGAGAGAAGCUUGCUUCUCUUGAGAGCGGGCGGACGGGUGAGUAAUGCCUAGGAAUCUGCCUGGUAGUGGGGGAUAACGCUCGGAAACGGACGCUAAUACCGCAUACGUCCUACGGGAGAAAGCAGGGGACCUUCGGGCCUUGCGCUAUCAGAUGAGCCUAGGUCGGAUUAGCUAGUUGGUGAGGUAAUGGCUCACCAAGGCGACGAUCCGUAACUGGUCUGAGAGGAUGAUCAGUCACACUGGAACUGAGACACGGUCCAGACUCCUACGGGAGGCAGCAGUGGGGAAUAUUGGACAAUGGGCGAAAGCCUGAUCCAGCCAUGCCGCGUGUGUGAAGAAGGUCUUCGGAUUGUAAAGCACUUUAAGUUGGGUAGGAAGGGCAGUAAAUUAAUACUUUAGCUGUUUUGACGUUACCGACAGAAUAAGCACCGGCUAACUCUGUGCCAGCAG